CUGCCACCCAAUUUGCAUCAAGUCAUUCGAGAUUUCUGCCUCCAAAUGCUUUCUUGGUGAGACAACCAGAUCGAAGUAAUCUGCCUUUAUGGAGUGAAAUUCAUUAAUUUCAUUAUGAGAAAGAGCUCUAAUUUUAGAAAUGGUUUCUCAUUCAUCAAUCUUAGCUUUUAGGGACUUGAUCUUUGAAUCAACAUGACCAAAAGCUUUCGAAUUCCAAGAUUUUAGCUUCCAACGAAGCAGCUUCAAUUUUUUAGGAAG
rnacentral:lncRNA from 1 species